rnacentral:rRNA from 1 species
GAUGAACGCUGGCGGCGUGCCUAAUACAUGCGAGUCGAGCGAACGGACGAGAAGCUUGUUUCUCUGAUGUUAGCGGCGGACGGGUGAGUAACACGUGGAUAACCUACCUAUAAGACUGGGAUAACUUCGGGAAACCGGAGCUAAUACCGGAUAAUAUUUUGCACCGCAUGGUUCAAAAGUGAAAGACGGUCUUGCUGUCACUUAUAGAUGGAUCCGCGCUGCAUUAGCUAGUUGGUAAGGUAACGGCUUACCAAGGCAACGAUGCAUAGCCGACCUGAGAGGGUGAUCGGCCACACUAGAACGGAGACACGGUCCAUACUCCUGCGGGACGCAGCAGUAGGGAACCGUACGCAAUGGGCGAAAAUCUGACGGAGCAACGCCGCGUGAGUGAUGAAGGUCUUCGGAUCGUAAAACUCUGUUUUUAGGGAAAAACAGAUGUGUAAGUUACUGAACACAUCUUGACGGUAACUAAUCAGAAAGCCACGGCUAACUACGUG